AAUUUAAAUACAAGGUGAGAUGAAAAAACCGCAACUAAAUUCUGACUGCUGUCAUAUCUAAGCCACUCGUCCGACAGCUGUUAAAAUUAUUCCAGUGUUAGCUCAUUAUAUUUUUUACAAGUGUACAAAAGCAUUUUGGUGAGAAUUUUCCAGAAAAAAAAGUUAUUCGUGAUGGUAUUCAAGCGUGAUAGUAUUGGCUGGAAAACCACAAGUGGCUAUCUUUAGAGCAAUCCAGCAUUUAAAUGUGAAUAAAUCUUUUGUGUCUCAUACCAUCGCUCGUUACCAUGAUACUGUAAAGAAGCGACUUGAUCGAAACCAGCGUCACAGUGGCCGAAAAAUGGCUCGUGAGCUGAACAUAUCGCAAUAUUCCAUUCGGCAA